AAGCAGCACACAGAACAAGGAAAGCAGCAGAAGAAGAGUAAGAAGGAGACGGACAGCAGCGGCGAGGACAGCGGCGAGGACGCUGCACAGGUGUCGACUCAGGAGCUGCUCAAAAGACUGAAAAAUGUCCGGUCUCUUGAGUCCUGGUGAAGACAGUGAGCCGUGUCCUCUGUGAGGACGACCGUCAGCAGAUACCAUGUUGUUCUCAUUUGAAAUAAUAAACGUGUUUAUCAUUUAA